UACCAACCCGAUGCAAACUGCGAAUACCGGAGAAUGUUAUCACGGGAGACACACGGCGGGUGCUAACGUCCGUCGUGAAGAGGGAAACAACCCAGACCGCCAGCUAAGGUCCCAAAGUCAUGGUUAAGUGGGAAACGAUGUGGGAAGGCCCAGACAGCCAGGAUGUUGGCUUAGAAGCAGCCAUCAUUUAAAGAAAGCGUAAUAGCUCACUGGUCGAGUCGGCCUGCGCGGAAGAUGUAACGGGGCUAAACCAUGCACCGAAGCUGCGGCAGCGACACUCAGGUGUUGUUGGGUAGGGGAGCGUUCUGUAAGCCUGUGAAGGUGGCCUGUGAGGGUUGCUGGAGGUAUCAGAAGUGCGAAUGCUGACAUAAGUAACGAUAAAGCGGGUGAAAAGCCCGCUCGCCGGAAGACCAAGGGUUCCUGUCCAACGUUAAUCGGGGCAGGGUGAGUCGACCCCUAAGGCGAGGCCGAAAGGCGUAGUCGAUGGGAAACGGGUUAAUAUUCCCGUACUUGGUGUUACUGCGAAGGGGGGACGGAGAAGGCUAUGUUGGCCGGGCGACGGUUGUCCCGGUUUAAGCGUGUAGGUGUGUGUUCCAGGUAAAUCCGGUUCACUUUAACACUGAGGCGUGACGACGAGGCACUACGGUGCUGAAGCAACAAAUGCCCUGCUUCCAGGAAAAGCCUCUAAGCAUCAGGUAACAUCAAAUCGUACCCCAAACCGACACAGGUGGUCAGGUAGAGAAUACCAAGGCGCUUGAGAGAACUCGGGUGAAGGAACUAGGCAAAAUGGUGCCGUAACUUCGGGAGAAGGCACGCUGACACGUAGGUGAAGUGAUUUACUCAUGGAGCUGAAGUCAGUCGAAGAUACCAGCUGGCUGCAACUGUUUAUUAAAAACACAGCACUGUGCAAACACGAAAGUGGACGUAUACGGUGUGACGCCUGCCCGGUGCCGGAAGGUUAAUUGAUGGGGUCAGCGCAAGCGAAGCUCCUGAUCGAAGCCCCGGUAAACGGCGGCCGUAACUAUAACGGUCCUAAGGUAGCGAAAUUCCUUGUCGGGUAAGUUCCGACCUGCACGAAUGGCGUAAUGAUGGCCAGGCUGUCUCCACCCGAGACUCAGUGAAAUUGAACUCGCUGUGAAGAUGCAGUGUACCCGCGGCAAGACGGAAAGACCCCGUGAACCUUUACUAUAGCUUGACACUGAACAUUGAGCCUUGAUGUGUAG
rnacentral:rRNA from 1 species